UCGCACCUACCGAUUGAAUGAUUCGGUGAAAAUUUCGGACCGUGACUUCGUCAUCUCGGUGACUUAGAUGUGGAAAGUUAUUUAAACCUCAUCAUUUAGAGGAAGGUG
rnacentral:rRNA from 1 species